rnacentral:lncRNA from 1 species
CAGCGAGCACCGGCCUAGGGAGACACAGCCCGGGCGGACCCGGCACUGGACUGGGCCAGUCCCUGGGACCCCUGGGCACCCCGCCCUGGGGAGGGGGCCGCGCCCCAGCCUUCCGGGACGAGGUGGCGGCGCAGAGCCGGAAAGCGGGGUGGGGGGAGGGCGGUGGGGAGGUGUUCUGUCCGAGGCUGCCUGGCGGCGCCGAAGCUCGCCUCCACUUUUUGGGCACUUGCCGAGCGCGGCGCCCGAACUUUUCGCUCUAUCACCAUCUCCCUCAAGCUGAGAUGCAACCUCCCUACCCUCGCCCCAGAGCCCAGAGCCAGGAGCCCGAUCCCUCUGCCGGGCUCAGGCGCCCGCGAACCUGAGACUCGGUACGCGGCUCAGCCUAGCUCUUUCCCCUCGCGCCUCGGGGUCUCCUCGCUCCAAGGUUCUCGAAGUCUUGCGCCCGAAGGACUAAACUAAACUAAACUUCGGCUGAGUAAUGGGGGAGGAGGGGGGUGCAGAUACACAAUCCCUGCCCUAUCUCACGAUCAGGAAAGGAGAGGGCUCAUAAGGACGCCCCAAUUCGCGAGCGCCCUUGAGUCUGGCCGGUGCCACGGUCGGUUCGCGCGAAGUGGGCACCGGUCUCCCGAGCCGACUUCGUGUACUCCGGACCUGUACUGCGCUCCGGUAGAGGACCCUUCCCUUUCUCUUAGCUUCUUAAAUCUUUUCUUUUAAGGUGUAAAUGUGUGUGUGUGCCGAUGAAUGUUUCUGUUUUUCAUCUGCUGACUUUAUUUUUUUUUAUUGGUAUAACUUCUCCCUUCUCUCUCCCUGCUCGUCCGUUUUCCACCUUUUCUCUUACUUAUCUUCUGCCCUCGCUCACUCCCUAACACACACAUUCACACCCUCUCCGCCUCGCUCUCCCGUUCUCGCCAGGUCCUGAUGGGUACAGUAGAUUUUGAUAAAAAGACAAACGAAGCUAUCAGUGGGGCUGAUGUUGAAGAAUGAAGAUAAUAAUGUUUCCAUAGGUGGUGCUUCAAAUGCCAUUAUUUCUCACUGAAUAUUUAAAGAGAUCCCUCGGCAAAGAUGGAUCUGCGCACUCCUGGGGUGUGAGCGGCUCGCAUCUCCCAGACCCCGGGGAACGUGUACGGGAGCACGUGUAAAUCCCGCACCCGCCUCCAUCUCACAAACAGGGGUCCUCGCACACCCACCAAUCCACACUGUCCCAGGUACACGAACGCGUUUGUGUGCACUUGCACACUCCUUUCCCGGAAUGUGCCCGUGUUUGGAGCCGCCCGCAUCCUUCUCUAACAAUCUUGGCUUCUUGAAAGUCCGGGCCUCCCGGGCACCGCAUGCAGCCAGGAACCUAGCGGAGCUGGCGGUCCCGCAAAGCUUUUCUCCUGGUGCGCGCCGCGUGCGCAGCAGGAAGCUCCCGGGAAUAACUUCACACGUGUUUGUUACUUGGUCUACGUGUGAUUUAAGAUUAAGUGUAGGAAAAAAAAAAAUUCCCCCCCCCCAAAAAAACACCACAACAAACAACCAAACGAAAUGAACAUGCGAAAAGCAGCUACGCGAUGCUUAAUUAAAAAUGGGCGAGCAGAGACGAAUAAAUUGGGGGAUCCAAACUUUAAUAACUUUUUUCGUUUUUUUGCGUCCUCGACGGCGUAGAGGCGGGCGUUUCGAUCUGCGCUUGGCGUCCCCCGCUAAUUUCUUGUUUGUUUUCUUUCCCUCGGUGGCCCCGGGAAAGGAGAUGGGAGGU